rnacentral:misc_RNA from 1 species
AUAUUCACGAAGCUCCUCAUCAUUUUCAGAUGCACUUGUACAGUAGUUAAUAAGCAAUGGAACUGUAUCUCCGAGGUGAGGACCAAAACGAUAACCAACAGCACGGCUUAAGGCCCCGAUCAUCUGAAUGUUAGUUCGUAUCAUUUCUGAUUUUAAGCUCUUAUUGCUUAAAAGGCGAACAACUUCAACUGUAGCCUUUGCAAGCAAAUCAUCCGACAAACUCGAAGACAGAGAUGCUAUACAUGAAACGGUCUUCUUCCGGACACUAGCUUGAUUGGAACUUAGUUGGGGCAAUAAUGAAGUUAACAAAGACUCAUGGUCAGUGUCCAUCAAAUUCCCAUACUUGUGAAGAACAUCACAUAGUA